rnacentral:siRNA from 1 species
CUAAGAGAACCAGGCGCUCUU